rnacentral:precursor_RNA from 1 species
CGGGUGCCACGCUGUGCUCUCUCGGGAAUUAAUGCAGAGUGAACACAGCUGGUGGUAUCUCAGU